rnacentral:rRNA from 1 species
GACGGAGGAUGCAAGUGUUAUCCGGAAUCACUGGGCGUAAAACGUCUGUAGGUGGUUUAAUAAGUCAACUGUUAAAUCUUGAGGCUCAACUUCAAAAUCGCAGUCGAAACUAUUAGACUAGAGUAUAGUAGGGGUAAAGGGAAUUUCCAGUGGAGCGGUGAAAUGCGUAGAGAUUGGAAAGAACACCAAUGGCGAAAGCACUUUACUGGGCUAUCACUGACACUGAGAGACGAAAGCUAGGGUAGCAAAUGGG